rnacentral:rRNA from 1 species
AGUGAACGCUGGCGGUAGGCCUAACACAUGCAAGUCGAACGGCAGCACAGUAAGAGCUUGCUCUUACGGGUGGCGAGUGGCGGACGGGUGAGGAAUACAUCGGAAUCUACUUUUUCGUGGGGGAUAACGUAGGGAAACUUACGCUAAUACCGCAUACGACCUACGGGUGAAAGCAGGGGAUCUUCGGACCUUGCGCGAUUGAAUGAGCCGAUGUCGGAUUAGCUAGUUGGCGGGGUAAAGGCCCACCAAGGCGACGAUCCGUAGCUGGUCUGAGAGGAUGAUCAGCGACACUGGAGCUGAGACACGGUCCAGACUCCUACGGGAGGCAGCAGUGGGGAAUAUUGGACAAUGGGCGCAAGCCUGAUCCAGCCAGACCGCGUGGGUGAAGAAGGCCUUCGGGUUGUAAAGCCCUUUUGUUGGGAAAGAAAAGCAGCAGGUUAAUACCCCGCUGUUCUGACGGUACCCAAAGAAGAAGCACCGGCUAACUUCGUG